GCCGCCAGCAGGGGUCGAACCUGCGACCUUGGGCUUAUUAGACCCACGCUCUAACCGACUGAGCUAUGGCGGC
rnacentral:tRNA from 1 species